rnacentral:lncRNA from 10 species
CCAAUUGAGGCACACGGGAGCCGCCGGCCUCUCUCUGCCCAUGUCUGUCUGUGAAAUUCUGGCCAGGUGCCCUCGCGAUGGCUCUCCCGACACCUUCUGACAGCCCAUUCCCCGCAGAAGCCUGAGGACAAGGAUGGCGAAGGAGACUCAUUUGUAACCUGAAUGAAAAAGAUGUCCUGCCAGCAUGCUUUGAGCAGAACCUGUACCCGAACUGGACAGAGAGACCGGCAUUUUGGAGUCCAGGAUUCAGAUUUCAUGUCAUAAUCGAAGGUCCAGGUAUCCAUGCCAGGGUGGCAGGGAACCUGCACACGCACACGGCCUGUGCAACGUGGCCCACCGGGGGUGUCACCCUCCCUCCUUGGUCGCCUUCACCCACGCCAGGGAGUGGGGAACAGGGGGCUUUCGUGAGCCAGACAGCAAAGGUCACCCCUCUGCUGCAGCCCAGCCAGGCUUUGCAGGCAGAAGGAAUCUCCCAACUUGCCGCGGCACAUGGGGAUUUUGGGUUUGCUGCCCUGGCUCCUUCGGAAGUGGCACUGUCCUACCCUCAGUCACCUGGGUGACCUCCGCAUCCGAACAGAUGGCAGGAGGUCCAGGACCCGUAGUACGGUGGCUUUCUGGGUGGGUGCUCAAUGGGACAGCUUGGGCCUCUCAGGCUGAGUCAAACAGAUGGCAGAGGGACCAGGACCAGCAGCAUGGCAGCCUUCUGGGUGCGUACUCAGUGGGACAACUUGAGCCACUCAGGCUGAGUCACAGGGGCAAGGUGUGCUUGCGCCUCACAUGUCCCACAUGAGUCCGUACUGGGUCUGCGGCCAGGGUCCACAGGUCACCAGGGCACGUGGGAACAUGAAUCCGAGGCACAUCUACCUCCGCAGCUCGCGCCCAUGGAGGCCUCUGCGUGUCAGGAGCAGAUGUAAGCCAUCCAGGCACCCUCCCAACAGCUCCAGGAGCUGGAGUCUUCAUCUGUACUCGCAUACACCCUGUUAGAUGAGCUUCUGUCGACCCCAGAAUUUCAGCAAAAGGCACAACCUUUCCUAGCAACGGAGCUACUGGGGGAGUUGAAGGACUUGGAAAAGCCCGCUUUUCUGGAACCACUCCUCAGCCUAGAAGAACACUGAGCUCAGCUGGAGGAGCUUUAG